UACGGAGGGUGCAAGCGUUAUCCGGAUUCACUGGGAUUAAAGGGUGUGUAGGCGGGUAUUUAAGUCAGUGGUGAAAUCUCCAGGCUCAACCUGGAAACUGCCAUUGAUACUAUUUAUCUUGAAUCUUGUUGAGGUGGGCGGAAUAUAUCAUGUAGCGGUGAAAUGCUUAGAUAUGAUAUAGAACACCGAUUGCGAAGGCAGCUCACUAAACAAGCAUUGACGCUGAGGCACGAAAGCGUGGGGAUCAAACAGG
rnacentral:rRNA from 1 species